UACGUAGGGGGGCGAGCGUUGUCCGAAGUUACUGGGCGUAAAGCGCGCGUAGGCGGUCUAUUAAGUCUGAGGUGAAAAGGUUCAACGCUCAACUGAACAGUGCCUUGGAUACUGGUAGACUUGAGUGUGGCAGAGGAGUAUGAAUUCUGGUGUAGCGGUGAAAAUGCGUAGAUAUCAGGAGGAAUACCGAUGGCGAAGGCAGUACUCUGGGCUAAACACUACGUGAGGGUGCGAAAAGGCGUGGGGGGAGAAAACGGGG
rnacentral:rRNA from 1 species